GACGAACGCUGGCGGCGUGCCUAAUACAUGCAAGUUGAACGCUUGAUUUUCACCGAAGCUUGCUUCACCGAAAAUCAAGAGUAGCGAACGGGUGAGUAACGCGUGGGUAACCUACCUAUCAGCGGGGGAUAACUAUUGGAAACGAUAGCUAAUACCGCAUAACAAUGUUGGAUGCAUAUUCGACAUUUGAAAGUACCAACUGGUACACUGAGAGAUGGACCCGCGUUGUAUUAGCUAGUUGGUAGUGUAAUGGACUACCAAGGCGAUGAUACAUAGCCGACCUGAGAGGGUGAUCGGCCACAUUGGGACUGAGACACGGCCCAAACUCCUACGGGAGGCAGCAGUAGGGAAUCUUCGGCAAUGGACGAAAGUCUGACCGAGCAACGCCGCGUGAGUGAAGAAGGUUUUCGGAUCGUAAAACUCUGCUGUUAGAGAAGAACGUUGCAUAGAGUGGAAAAUUAUGCAAGUGACGGUAUCUAACCAGAAAGGGACGGCUAACUACGUGCCAGCAGCCGCGGUAAUACGUAGGUCCCGAGCGUUGUCCGGAUUUAUUGGGCGUAAAGCGAGCGCAGGUGGUUUAUUAAGUCUGGUGUAAAAGGCAGUGGCUCAACCAUUGUAUGCAUUGGAAACUGGUAGACUUGAGUGCAGGAGAGGAGAGUGGAAUUC
rnacentral:rRNA from 1 species